UAUUUUUGCAUCUAAGGGUGAGAAUGGGAAGCCAUCUCUGCUUACACUGAGGACUACCAAAUACUUUCAAUGCACUUUUGGAUCCCUGCAUGAGCUAUUCUUAUGGAUUCCAAAGAAAAGGCACUGCUCAGGCUGCACUGCCUCGCUGCAAGCUUCAGGCUCCUGCAAGCUAAGCUAGCGCCGCAUCGUCUCCCUUCAGCUGCCAUCAUGAUUAUCUACUGGGACCUCAUCAGCCACGAUGAGAUGUUCUCCUACAUCUACAAGAUCUGGGAGGUUGUGAACGGGCUGUACCUGGAGGUGGAGGGGAAGAUGUCUGUAGGAUAGAAGAUAACGUUGAUGACUCGCUCAUUGGUGGAAAUGCAUUCGCUGAAGGCCUCUAGGGUGAAGGUACAGAAAGUACAGUAAUCACUGGUGUUGAUAUUGUCCUGAACCAUCACCUCCAGGAAACAAGUUUCACAAAAGAAACCUACAAGAAGUACAUCAAAGAUUAUGUGGAAUCAAUCAAAGGCAAACUUGAAGAACAGAGACCAGAAACAGUAAAACCUUUUAUGACAGGGGCUUCAAAACAAACCAAGGACAUACUUGCUAAUUUCAAAAACUACCAGUUCUUUAUUGGUGAAAACAUGAAUCCAGAUGGCACGGUUGCUCUACUGGACUACCGUGAAGAUGGUGUGACCCCAUAUAUGAUUUUCUUUAAGGAUGGUUUAGAAAUGGAAAAAUGUUAACAAAUUUGGAAAUUACUUUGGAUCUAUCACCUGUCAUCAUAACUGGCUUCUGCUUGUCAUCCGCACAACACCAGGACUUAAGACAAAUGGGACUGAUGUCAUCUUGAGCUCUUCAUUUAUUUUGACUGUGAUUUAUUUGGAGUGGAGGCAUUGUUUCAUGUUAUGUAGGUUGUCUAAAAA